rnacentral:sRNA from 1 species
ACUUCCUGUCAGCACAAUUGGGAAACCUACUAUGCUGUACUUACUGCUCCCCACUUCCCCCACCCCGGGUGUCUGAGAAACUCUCAGGGGUCCUCAAAGAACAGUUUGAAAAGCCAGUCUCUUUGCCCCUACAUCAGACUCAGCCUUAUGGAAGAGGACGAGGAAGAAGAGUUAGAAAUCCAGGAUGAGUCAAAUGAAGAACGGCAGGAUACAGACAUGCAAGCAAGUAGCUACUGUUCCACCAGUGAGCGCGGGCUGGACCUCUUAGAUUCUACAGAGCUGGAUAUUGAGGAUUUCUGACAGGACUCUGGGCCCCUCCCCAGCUCCACUCCCUACCUCAAGAAUGUGACCAUUUGGAAAAGGCAGAGAAAAGGAGCAAAAUGAAGCAUUCCCCCAGGCUUCAGCCCUGGGCUCUGAGGGGAAAGAGUUGGGCAUUGUUUUUCUAACCUAACCUUUCCCUCUGGGGUAGAGAAGCCGAGAGACCCUGUCCUCCCUAAUGCACUGUGGCCCAGUCCCCUUGCCUUUUUCCUGUUCUGUUUGGAGUGGAGAAGGGCAGCACCUCUGUGUUUAAUGGAAAUAGCCCAUGGUUUUCUGGAUUUUUGGAACAUCUUUCUCAGCCUAUUUUGUGUCCUAAUGAUUCGCUCAAUAAACAUGUUUGAAUCCAC